rnacentral:sRNA from 1 species
GCUGGGCACAGUGGUGCAUGCCUGUAAUCUCAGUGGCUUAGAAGGCUGAGGCAGGAGGAUUGUGAGCUCAAAGCCAAUUUCAGCACAAGUGAGGUGCUAAGCAACUCAGUGAGAUCUUGUCUCUA